rnacentral:pre_miRNA from 1 species
AUAAUACUCCCUCCGUUCCUAAAUAUUUGUCUUUCUAGAGAUUUCAACAAGUGACUACAUACGGAGCAAAAUGAGUGAAUCUACACUCUAAAAUAUGUCUAUAUACAUCCGUAUGUGGUCACUUGUUGAAAUCUCUAGAAAGACAAAUAUUUAGGAACGGAGGGAGUAGAAG